ACACAUGCAAGUCGAGCGGUAAGGCCCUUCGGGGUACACGAGCGGCGAACGGGUGAGUAACACGUGGGUGAUCUGCCUCGCACUUCGGGAUAAGCCUGGGAAACUGGGUCUAAUACCGGAUAUGACCUGCUGUCGCAUGGCGGUGGGUGGAAAGAUUUAUCGGUGCGAGAUGGGCCCGCGGCCUAUCAGCUUGUUGGUGGGGUAAUGGCCUACCAAGGCGACGACGGGUAGCCGGCCUGAGAGGGCGACCGGCCACACUGGGACUGAGACACGGCCCAGACUCCUACGGGAGGCAGCAGUGGGGAAUAUUGCACAAUGGGCGAAAGCCUGAUGCAGCGACGCCGCGUGAGGGAUGACGGCCUUCGGGUUGUAAACCUCUUUCGACAGGGACGAAGCGCAAGUGACGGUACCUGUAGAAGAAGCACCGGCCAACUACGUGCCAGCAGCCGCGGUAAUACGUAGGGUGCGAGCGUUGUCCGGAAUUACUGGGCGUAAAGAGCUUGUAGGCGGUUUGUCGCGUCGUCUGUGAAAACUCACAGCUCAACUGUGAGCUUGCAGGCGAUACGGGCAGACUUGAGUACUGCAGGGGAGACUGGAAUUCCUGGUGUAGCGGUGAAAUGCGCAGAUAUCAGGAGGAACACCGGUGGCGAAGGCGGGUCUCUGGGCAGUAACUGACGCUGAGAAGCGAAAGCGUGGGUAGCGAACAGGAUUAGAUACCCUGGUAGUCCACGCCGUAAACGGUGGGCGCUAGGUGUGGGUUUCCUUCCACGGGAUCCGUGCCGUAGCUAACGCAUUAAGCGCCCCGCCUGGGGAGUACGGCCGCAAGGCUAAAACUCAAAGGAAUUGACGGGGGCCCGCACAAGCGGCGGAGCAUGUGGAUUAAUUCGAUGCAACGCGAAGAACCUUACCUGGGUUUGACAUACACCGGAAACCUGCAGAGAUGUAGGCCCCCUUGUGGUCGGUGUACAGGUGGUGCAUGGC
rnacentral:rRNA from 1 species